GAUGAACGCUGGCGGCGUGCCUAAUACAUGCAAGUCGAGCGAACGGACGAGGAUCUUUCUUCUCUGGGUUUAUCGGCGGACGGGUGAUUAACACGUGUAUAACCUACCUAUAAGACUGUGAUAAUUUCGGGAAACCUGAGCUAAUACCGGAUGAUAUUUUGAACCUCAUGGUUCAAGAGAGAAAGACGGUCUUGCUGUCACGUAUUGAUGGAUCCGCGCUGCAUUAGCUAGUUGGUAAGGUAACGGCUUACCAAGGCAACGAUGCAUAGCCGACCUGAAAGGGUGGUUGGCCACCUUGGAAGUGAGAAAGGGCCCCGACUUCUGCGGGAGGAAGCAGUAGGGAAUCUUCCGCAAUGGGGGAAAGCGUAACGUAGCACAGCCGCCUGAGUGCUGACGGUCUUCGGAUCGUAAAACUAUGUUAUUAGGGAAGAACAUAUGUGUAAGUAACUGUGAACAUCUUGACGGUACCUAAUCAGAAAGCCACGGCUAACUACGUG
rnacentral:rRNA from 1 species